ensembl:lncRNA
GUCUGUUCUAAGAGUCACUGUACUUGGGAAGCCCAAAGCUGUGGCUUCCUAUCAGGCAUUUACAGUUCUCCACAUCCAGUCCAGGUGCAGUUUACCAUUUAGGAGUCAUUUCUACCCUAAGUAAUGUUGCUUAGCAACAUAGUUAACUUGCGACUCUAUUAGGUUGCCAGGGGAACAGAGCUAGAAAAGUUAACCAAGGUCAAAAUCUCACUCAGAAGGGGAAUUGUUAAUACUUUACCAAACAGUAUGCAAAGCAAUUACAUGGUAGAUAUUCCACCUAAUUCUUAUAAAAUAUAGCCAGAGGAAUUUCCUACUAACUAUAGCUAACACCAACUCAUUUUUCCUGUCUUGAAUUAAUAUUCCUUCUUUGUACUUAGCUGCUUAUGACUAAUACUGAUUGUAAAUUUUGCUGAAGUAUGUGUAAGGAGUUGGAUAAAUAAUCAAAAUGGCCUCAUCAAAAUGUCAUGUAUCCUUUGGUGCUAUCCAUAGUUGGGAGGUAUAAUAUCAUACUGAAGGGCAUUGUUGAAUGGGAACUUCUGCAGACUCUAUCAAUCAUAUUUAGAGGGGAACCUAUGCCCACUCAGUAACCAGUGAACACCAGGCAUGAUAGUAUCUCUUAUGAUUAUGUCACAUAGUGUUAUUCUUGCCUGUGGCAGUUGCUCCUAGCACAUUAGUGAGGAUAGCUGUUUGUUUUUUUUUCCAGUACUGGGAAUCAAACUCAGGAUCUUGUUCUUGCCAGGCAGGCCCAGUGCAGUGCUGCUGAUCUAAACUGCUGGCCCUAGGAUAGGUGGUUAUUUAUUCCUCAGCUACCCAACAGUUACUUAUAGAAUCCUAACCAUGGGCCGUUCACUACCAUUUCUUCAAUGAAGGAGACAAUUAUUGCCUUCCGGGAGCUUGCAAUUUGUAAUCAAGGAGAUCAGUAAUUGAGGGGUUUUAGCAGUGUGCUGGGUGUGACAAUAGCAGCAGCUACAGGGAGCCCUGAGACUGCAUGAGUGGGAUUCCUAGCCCAGGCUUCAAGCUUUGGAAAAAGCUUUCUUGUCUAAACUGCUGUUAUUGUGAUCCUUCCCAUCCAGUAAACUUCUGUUUAUUAGCAACUUAAACAGUUUCUGAAGCUGCUUGCCUUUUUCCAAACACGGUAUCUUCGGACACAAAUAGUGUUUAAAUUACCUGUUUUACUCAGGGUCUUACUAAGUUGCCCAGGCUGGCGUGGAACUUGUCAUCCUGCCUCAGUCUCCUGAGUACCUGGGAUUACAGGUGUGUGCCACUAUGUUCAGCUUCAGGGUGAUGAUUUCACAGGAAAUUGUAAUAAGGAAUUUUAAUGGACAAGAUUUUAGCUAAGAAAAAAACCCCCACAAAAUAAAUAGAACUACUAAAUAGAGCUUUAAACAAAAGAAAUUUCCAUUGGACAUCAUUUCCCACCUUUUUGUCCCAUGGUGUAAGGACUAGCACCCCCGCCCCCAUACUGGGAAUUAAAAUCAGGACUUUUUUUUUUAAAUAUGAAAUAGUUUCUGGGUAAAAUAUCCCAAGCCAGGACAUUUUAGAUUUUGUGCAGG